AGAGUUUGAUCAUGGCUCAGGAUUAACGCUGGCGGUAUGCCUAACACAUGCAAGUCGAACGGAAUACUAAUUAAGAGAAUCUCACACUAGUGAGAGGUUCUCACGAGUAGUAUUUAGUGGCGGACGGGUGAGUAACACGUUGGAACCUGCCCCGAAGUGGGGAAUAACUGCUCGAAAGAGUAGCUAAUACCCCAUAGUAUCCGGUUUAUCCGGAUUAAAGAUUUAUCGCUUCGGGAGGGGCCUGCGUCUGAUUAGCUAGUUGGUGAGGUAAAAGCUCACCAAGGCGACGAUCAGUAGCUGGUUCGAGAGGAUGACCAGCCACACUGGGACUGAGAUACGGCCCAGACUCCUACGGGAGGCAGCAGUGAGGAGUCUUCCACAAUGGACGAAAGUCUGAUGGAGCAAUACCGCGUGCAGGAAGACGCUUUUCGGAGUGUAAACUGCUUUUGUCGUCGAAGAUUAUGACUGUAGACGAAGAAUAAGGACCGGCUAACUACGUG
rnacentral:rRNA from 1 species